ACCUAGUUGCAAUCCUUGAGUAAGUGUAUGAAUAGGUAUUUUAAGGAACACGUUCUAGCUUUAAUGGUAACCUGGACCCUUAAAAAUCUUCAGAGUAAAACUAGUAUAAGUUUGUGUGGGAAUAAUCCUAAUGUGAUGAAAUGUGUAAACCGAAAUGGGGCAGAAGGAUAUCACCAGCACGUGGAGGAAAGGAUACCCUCUCACUGACGUCCUAAAUGUGGUGAUGACUUCUCAAACAAAUUGUGCUUAAAUUAAACCAUCUAAAAAGAGGAACUUCCUAAGUAAAGUAAACAAGUUGUAGCACUACUUAGGGUGAUCAUAGAAACUUGGAGGAAAGGAUACCCCCUCACGGACUUCCAAUGUGAAAUGAUAGCCCCUAGGCAUCUACAAGCCCCCAAAAUGUAUAAAUUCAUCAAAUCUAUCUUAACUCUCC
rnacentral:lncRNA from 1 species